GUGAAGUCCUUCUGCCUAGUUCCCAUUCCUUGUGAACAGAAGAGGACUGGAAAUCUCUCCUCGCAGGACUGCAUACUGUUAUCUCUGAGAAACCAGAAAGAACAAAGUACGUCAUCUUUCCAAGCUUCUACCUAAUAGAAUACUGGAAGGUUUACCUAGAGCAACAAGACAACAAAAUGGAUUGUCCUUCUCGUGCUAGUCCACACACAGUUCUCAUCAUUUUGAUAAGAUAGCGUGAAGUCUCUUAUCACUUUGUGGAUCCAACACUCAGGUUCAGUUUAUAGCCCCCAACCCGCUCUGGUGGUUUUUGAGAUCGGAGCAGGGUAAAAAUGUUCCAAGAUUUCCGAUGUCAACGUUGGAUUCAGAUGUUUACUGGUAUGAGUUUUUCCAGUCCUACAAUA